CAUGUUUUAAUGACUUGUUUUACUGUUCUACUCACUGGGCUAUAGAGCUCAUCCCACUCCCUUAACCCCAGUCUUGCAGGUUCAGUGUACAGUGUACAGGGGAAGUCCAACAGAGUACAGGAAGAGAGAAGAGUUUUGUAAUAGAAGAUUGUGGACAUGUAACAGUAAAGAGAUGUAACUAUUGUGUAUAAAGUUAGAAUUGUGCUUGACUUAGUUAUGUUUGUGUUGUCAAUCUUUUGU
rnacentral:lncRNA from 1 species